rnacentral:lncRNA from 1 species
GGCGCGGCCAAUAACGACAGAUAGACAGCAGCACGAAAAAAAAGGGAAAAAACCUGUCACUUUUUUCCGCACACCAAGCGCAAACCCGUUGCCAGACAAGAGGGAGUGCGUGGACAACCCAACCUCUUUUUGGUGCCUUUUCUCGACCAUACGAAACAGCCAGUGCUUGCUUAUGGUUAGUUGACUAAUAGUCGACUAAGCAGCAAAGUCGGCCGGUAAGCCGCGGCUAAGUCGGAUGUAUGAAAUUCCUGUCGAGUGGAUCAGAAUGAAAAGGAGGAAAAAUCCCGACAACGACUAGAGACGUGGACGUAUCGCUGGUAAUGCUGUGUGCAAACGGACCGUUCAGCCGAAUUGCUGCCAAUUGAAUUUCAUAAAACCUGGGCUUGCUCAUUCGC